AUCACCAUAAAUCAUAGAUUACUCAUUGGUUACUUUACUGCCUUUAGAGUUUUCUUAUUUGUCGCCUCCUUUUUCUAGAUAUAAAUUAUAACUUUAUUUUCUUCUUUUUCUACACAAUUUAUUUGAAAAAAAGAAUUGCAAUUUGAGGCGUAUACACAGACCAGCGUAGUCUUUGGUAUGUCCAAAGAACAAAGAAAGGUUGGGGAUUUUAUCAGAAAGAGAAAUGUUACAUAUGGCUUUGAAAGAACACUCAUUGGCAAUAGGAAAGUUUCCAGGGGCUGGCAAGAUCUAAUUGGUGUGUGAUAGCAGUAGGUUAAACUAGUUUUAGAGCCAUGGCAUUUUGUUACAGCAGCUACUGGGUAAAGCUAUUCUUUAAGUUUAUGGCAUUUGGUUAUUUUGGCAGCUGGUUUGCAGGAUAAUACCUGGACAGGCAUUUGUGCCCCAUGUGCUUCUCUUUUCUGCUCCUGAUCUCUUGAUUUAACUGAAUUGAGUAUGACAAUAACUCCAAUUCAUUUAAUCAAUUUUCACAGUAUAUGCAACAGUUUAUUUAUUUGUUGAUGGGCACAUAUUUGUAAUAAUUGUCUAUUAUGAGCACUUGUAUACAUAGCAAUUCAUUUUUUAAUUCUUUUGUGAGCCUAUUUAGGAGUGGGAAUACCAACUUUAUUUUCUAAAAGUUUAUAUUUCUUUGCUUUCCUUUUCUUCUCCCUUAACUAUCUCUUGGUCCUAUUGUCUUAAACAAAAAAUACACGGACUAUUGGACCAAAAAGUGAAGUGAAGUCUCUUAGACCUUUUAGAUUUAAGUAAAGUAGCCUUAAACAAAUUAUCUGGUAUCCUGUAAGAAAGAAGGAGGUCCAUUGCCCUCCUCGAGAUUUGUGUACUCCCAGGUCAUCGUAUAAAUGAGCUCUGGCUCUUUUUGCUUCUGCUUAACCUUCAUGUAUCUUUUUUCCUCAUUAUUUCUUAAUGAUCUAGACAUGGAACUCGGCUCUCUUUCCUUGUUACUCACAUAAGGUAUUGGUUGAUGUGACAGGUUUUGUCUAAUUCUGAGAGCAAAUGGGAGGGAGUCAUUUUGUGCUUAUGUAAAAAUAAUUUAGAAUUGAAUAUUAGACGUCAUUGAAAUUAAAUGUCCUUUAUCCAUUACAAAUUUCUCACAGGUCACCUUAGUCUUCAGGGUUCCAGUAUGCUUUUCCCUUCGUUAUUUCUCUUUUCCCAUUG